rnacentral:snRNA from 1 species
AAGUGUUACAGCUCUUUUAGAAUUUGUCUAGAAGAUCUUCUGGCUUUUGCUGGGAGGCCCUC